rnacentral:rRNA from 1 species
GACAGAGGGUGCAACCGUUGCUCGGAAUCACUGGGCGUAAAGCGCGUGUAGGCGGUUGUCCAAGUUGGAUGUGAAAGCCUUGAGCUUAACUCAAGAAAUGCAUUCAGGACUGGAUGACUAGAGGACCGGAGAGGAUAGUGGAAUUCCCAGUGUAGUGGUGAAAUACGUAGAGAUUGGGAAGAACACCAGUGGCGAAGGCGGCUAUCUGGACGGUUUCUGACGCUAAGACGCGAAAGCGUGGGGAGCAAACAGG